rnacentral:rRNA from 1 species
AUUGAACGCUGGCGGCAGGCCUAACACAUGCAAGUCGAACGAGUGGCGGACGGGUGAGUAAUGUCUGGGAAACUGCCCGAUGGAGGGGGAUAACUACUGGAAACGGUAGCUAAUACCGCAUACCCUCGGAUGUGCCCAGAUGGGAUUAGCUGGUAGGUGAGGUAACGGCUCACCUAGGCGACGAGCCCUAGCGGGUCUGAGAGGGUGAACAGCCACAGUGGAACUGAUACACGGUCCAGACUCCUACGGGAGGCAGCAGGGGGGAAUAUGGCAGAAUGGUCGCAAGCCUGAUGCAGCCAUGCCGCGUGUAUGAAGAAGGCCUUCGUUUUGUAAAGUACUGUCAGCGGGGAGGCGUUACCCGCAGAAGAAGCACCGGCUAACUCCGUGCCAGCAGCCGCGGUAAUAC